ACAGCCUAGUGGGAGCCAUGCCGAGGCUUAUCCCACGCCUACUACUGAACUGAACUGAACUGUACAGCAAGAGCAAGAGCAAGAGCCACAUUUUGACGAUAACAAACCUAAUACUUCCUUAUUUAAACCCUCGGAGACACUUAUAUAAGUAGAAUAUAUGCAGGCGUGGGAGGCGGAGGCGCGGGCGUGGGGGCGGCGAUCCCUUGAAAUAAGGUAAAAUGUCUUCCAUUCUUCCUGUGUCCUGUUCGAGCUCGUUAUUGGAUGAGUGACAUGUUGUAGUAAGAGGCUGUGGCCCCACAGCCUAACUAGCCCCAUAAAACCACCCAAGAAGAAGUGACAUGUUGUGAGACAAAGUGAGAUAGCUCUAAAGUGAGGGGGAGAGGCAGUCACCUCAGCCCCGGUGUGAGGGCCGCACAGGCUGCCCCGUCCCCCUGAGGAAGGCGCAGGUGGGGCGGGCAUACUGGAUCUGGAUACAUGAUGCGCAGGGCAGCCGUACAGGCAGCACUCACUCCCUGAAGAAGGUGCCGGAGAGGGGGGUCGGCUGCCGAGAUGGUCAGGCUCACCGGCCGGGUUGUGGACGCCAUGUCUGAGAAGCAGCCGCAGCCCAGGGUUAGACGUGGAGAAGGUUCAGUCCACCGUCCGCCAGGCUGUGCGUGACUGGUCUCCAUCAGGCACAUUGGAGCGGCCCCGUCACUAGGAAGAGUGACCUCCUCUUCCCCAGGACACUGUGGAGGUACUGUCUGGGUCUCCAUGGUGGCCGGCGUCAUGGUGUGGAGCCUAACACUCUGGGCCUUGCUCAGGAUCGUACAAACUGGCGUGGAUUAGCACCCGAUGAAGCACUCGGGCACUUUUCUACGGGUGGGGCCUGCUGCUCGAGGACACGCCCUAUGACCCGCCCGAGGGAACACACGGCCUGGACAGCGGGGGCCGGGGAAGCAUGGUCCAGUAACACACUCAGUUAAAUUUACGAAAUAUUUUAUGAAAACAAAAUGCAAAGUUUAAUAAUGGCACCAAAUUUAUCAUUAACCAACAGCUAGACUGAUGAGUCAACAGUAAACAUCCAAAACUCUCAGUAACUUACGUAAGUCAGACAGCAACUUUAUAUCAAGCAAACUUAACAACUUUUUUUUACAUGCUGCCAAUAGCGCCUGCAAGCUUUCUUGAGGGCCUCUUGGUCGACCCCAGCCCGUUAGCGGCGCAGGCGAUUUUUUUUUUUUUUUUUAUAGUGGCUGUCGUGAUGUAUGACUCUUGCUUGGUCCAUGCUGCCCCCCGGUGCUCCUCUUGGACGAAGUCGCUGAAGUUAGGGUUGAUUGAAGGCCUGGGCAACACGUGGGUAAUCAUCCGCCACUCGGCGAUGGCUUGAAAUAUCAGCGCGUUUAGGUGGGACUCGAUCCUAGGUCCACGGGCUCACCACGUACUAGGGUAUUAAUCCAAGGUUGAAUUUCCUGUCACAAACCCAUAAAAAAAAUCAUGCUGUAGAAAUACUUAGUGACUCCUUAAAGUAAACGUUUUCACGGUACUUUUUUGUAUUGAUUUCCACACGCUUGUCGUUCCUCGUCUGCCCCGCCAUCCCGAGGGCCAAUGAGGGGCCUCCGUCAAUGCUUCACCUUCCGGCUUCCAGCCAAUCACAAGGUAGUACGCCGUGACGUCAGAACCGAGCCUCCGGUGAGCUUCAUCUGCUGCUGUUUAUAUGGCCAAGG